UAUUUAACUGCAAUCCAGUUUAAUGGAGCCGGAGCGACUGCACCGGGCCCGGCCCACGCCCCAGGAUCGACCUGAGCCCCCCGCGAAGCUUUAUGCCUGUUUUAUUUAACUGCAAUCCAGUUUAAUGGAGCUGGAGCGACUGCACCGGGCCCGGCCCACGCCCCAGGAUCGACCUGAGCCCCCUGUGAAGGUGAGACCCGCAGCCACCCCAAGGCCGCCCCAUGGCGACCCAGUGACACCCAUAGAUACCCCACAGCGACCCACAGACACCCCUCUCCCCUGCAGCCCCAUAGGCCCCUAUAGACCCACAACACGUGUCCGCCAGCUUUUAUUGACUCCUGGCGUCAUGAUGUCACCAGGACCGCGAUCACAUCAUCAGCAUCAUCGAUGACCCAGUGCCCCCUAGGGCCCCCACUCCCCCUCCGCAACCCCUAAGUACCCCAACACCAGUCGAUAUUUUAUUCGCUUUCCUUCUUAUUUUUUUAAACUUUCAUUCACUUUUA